rnacentral:rRNA from 1 species
UACGAACCGUCCAAACGUUAUUCGGAAUCACUGGGCUUAAAGAGUCCGUAGGCGGCUUGGUAAGUAGGGUGUGAAAUCCCACGGCUUAACCGUGGAACUGCGCCCUAAACUACCAGGCUUGAGGGAGAUAGAGGUAAGCGGAACAGAUGGUGGAGCGGUGAAAUGCGUUGAUAUCAUCUGGAACACCGGAGGCGAAGGCGGCUUACUGGGUCUUUUCUGACGCUGAGGGACGAAAGCUAGGGUAGCGAACGGG